AUUGAACGCUGGCGGCAGGCCUAACACAUGCAAGUCGAGCGGAUGAAGGGAGCUUGCUCCUGGAUUCAGCGGCGGACGGGUGAGUAAUGCCUAGGAAUCUGCCUGGUAGUGGGGGAUAACGUCCGGAAACGGGCGCUAAUACCGCAUACGUCCUGAGGGAGAAAGUGGGGGAUCUUCGGACCUCACGCUAUCAGAUGAGCCUAGGUCGGAUUAGCCAGUUGGUGGGGUAAAGGCCUACCAGGGCGACGAUCCGUAACUGGUCUGAGAGGAUGAUCAGUCACACUGGAACUGAGACACGGUCCAGACUCCUACGGGAGGCAGCAGUGGGGAAUAUUGGACAAUGGGCGAAAGCCUGAUCCAGCCAUGCCGCGUGUGUGAAGAAGGUCUUCGGAUUGUAAAGCACUUUAAGUUGGGAGGAAGGGCAGUAAGUUAAUACCUUGCUGUUUUGACGUUACCAACAGAAUAAGCACCGGCUAACUUCGUG
rnacentral:rRNA from 1 species